rnacentral:rRNA from 1 species
UUUGGUAGUAAUAGCUGAGGUGAUAUACCCGUUCCCAUCCCGAACACGGAAGUCAAGCCCUCUUGCGCCGAUGGUACUGCUGCAAAGCGGGAGAGUAGGUAACUGCCAAGC